GAUGAACGCUGGCGGCGUGCCUAAUACAUGCAAGUCGAGCGAACAGACGAGGAGCUUGCUCCCCUGACGUUAGCGGCGGACGGGUGAGUAACACGUGGAUAACCUACCUAUAAGACUGGGAUAACUUCGGGAAACCGGAGCUAAUACCGGAUAAUAUAUUGAACCGCAUGGUUCAAUAGUGAAAGACGGUUUUGCUGUCACUUAUAGAUGGAUCCGCGCCGCAUUAGCUAGUUGGUAAGGUGACGGCUUACCAAGGCAACGAUGCGUAGCCGACCUGAGAGGGUGAUCGGCCACACUGGAACUGAGACACGGUCCAGACUCCUACGGGAGGCAGCAGUAGGGAAUCUUCCGCAAUGGGCGAAAGCCUGACGGAGCAACGCCGCGUGAGUGAUGAAGGUCUUCGGAUCGUAAAACUCUGAUAUUAGGGAAGAACAAAUGUGUAAGUAACUAUGCACGUCUUGACGGUACCUAAUCAGAAAGCCACGGCUAACUACGUG
rnacentral:rRNA from 1 species